UUAAAUUUACAUAAAUUGUUCAAUUUUAAGGAAGUAUAUUUUGUGACGUCAUUAGAUAUUGUAUGUGACGUCAUGAAACAUAACCUUCAAUUUUACAGGGAUAAGCUCUACUGUAUCGGUUGACAUUGGCAGGACUUGAGGCAUAUUUACAUUGGAUUUCUGUUACUUGCCGAGAGUCAAGAGAAACAUGUGUUUCAAAGUUAAAUGCGAAAAAUGUGAUAAGUUCACGUGGCAAGGGUGUGGCAAGCACAUCGAACAGGUUUUAAAAGAUGUACCAGAGGCUGAACGAUGCAAAUGUAAAUAGUCGUCAUGUCACAGUUGCUAUGCCUAGGGCGGACAGAUCCACUGUCAGACAUUGGUAGAACAACCGGUGAUAAAGGAUCAUUCUUGUUUUUGUCAGCAAUAAAAUUUUAAACGUUCUUCAGUUUUUUCUUGCAUAGUUUUUAUAUUUAAUUUAUUAUGUUGUGUAUUUAUAAUUGUUUCUUUAUGUCGUAAAUAAAUUUUUGAACUAAG